rnacentral:rRNA from 1 species
UAGGGAAUCUUCGGCAAUGGGGGGAACCCUGACCGAGCAACGCCGCGUGAGUGAAGAAGGUUUUCGGAUCGUAAAGCUCUGUUGUUAAGGAAGAACGAGUGUGAGAAUGGAAAGUUCAUGCUGUGACGGUACUUAACCAGAAAGGGACGGCUAACUACGUGCCAGCAGCCGCGGUAAUACGUAGGUCCCGAGCGUUGUCCGGAUUUAUUGGGCGUAAAGCGAGCGCAGGCGGUUAGAAAAGUCUGAAGUGAAAGGCAGUGGCUCAACCAUUGUAGGCUUUGGAAACUGUUUAACUUGAGUGCAGAAGAGGAGAGUGGAAUUCCAUGUGUAGCGGUGAAAUGCGUAGAUAUAUGGAGGAACACCAGUGGCGAAGGCGACUCUCUGGUCUGUAACUGACGCUGAGGCUCGAAAGCGUGGGUAGCAAACAGG